UACGGGGGGGGCAAGCGUUGUUCGGAAUUACUGGGCGUAAAGGGCUCGUAGGCGGCCAACUAAGUCAGACGUGAAAUCCCCCGGCUUAACCAGGGAACUGCGUCUGAUACUGGAUGGCUUGAGUUUGGGAGAGGGAUGCGGAAUUCCAGGUGGUAGCGGUGAAAUGCGUAGAUAUCUGGAGGAACACCGGUGGCGAAGGCGACAUCCUGGACCAACACUGACGCUGAGUGAGCGAAAGCCAGGGGAGCAAACGGG
rnacentral:rRNA from 1 species